rnacentral:rRNA from 1 species
UGGGGAAUAUUGGACAAUGGGCGCAAGCCUGAUCCAGCCAUGCCGCGUGAGUGAUGAAGGCCCUCGGGUCGUAAAGCUCUGUGGGUAGGGAAGAACCUCUGAGGGAACAAUACCCCUCAGAAUGACGGUACCUGCUUAGCAAGCACCGGCUAACUCCGUGCCAGCAGCCGCGGUAAUACGGAGGGUGCAAGCGUUGUUCGGAAUCACUGGGCGUAAAGCGCACGUAGGCGGAUAGUUAAGUCAGGGGUGAAAUCCUGGGGCUCAACCCCAGAACUGCCUUUGAUACUGGCUGUCUCGAGGUCGAGAGAGGUUGGUGGAAUUCCUAGUGUAGAGGUGAAAUUCGUAGAUAUUAGGAAGAACACCAGUGGCGAAGGCGGCCAACUGGCUCGAUACUGACGCUGAGGUGCGAAAGCGUGGGGAGCAAACAGGAUUAGAUACCCGAGUAGUCCCUGAGCGGGCUGGCAAGGCGCAU